GUUCCAGACUCCUACGGGAGGCAGCAGUGAGGGAUAUUGGUCAAUGGGGGAAACCCUGAACCAGCAACGCCGCGUGAGGGAAGACGGUUUUCGGAUUGUAAACCUCUGUCCUCUGUGAAGAUAAUGACGGUAGCAGAGGAGGAAGCUCCGGCUAACUACGUGCCAGCAGCCGCGGUAAUACGGAGGAUGCGAGCGUUAUCCGGAUUUAUUGGGUUUAAAGGGUGCGUAGGCGGACUGUUAAGUCAGCGGUAAAAGCCCGGGGCUCACCCCCGGCGAGCCGUUGAAACUGGCUGUCUUGAGAUGUCGAGAGGUAUGCGGAAUGCGCAGUGUAGCGGUGAAAUGCUUAGAUAUUGCGCAGAACUCCGAUUGCGAAGGCAGCAUACCGGCGGCGAUCUGACGCUGAGGCACGAAAGCGUGGGUAUCGAACAGGAUUAGAUACCCGAGUAGA
rnacentral:rRNA from 1 species